rnacentral:rRNA from 1 species
GACGAACGCUGGCGGCGUGCUUAACACAUGCAAGUCGAACGGUGAACCAGGGCUUGCCCUGGGGAUCAGUGGCGAACGGGUGAGUAACACGUGGGCAACCUGCCCCUGACUCUGGGAUAACUCCUCGAAAGAGGUGCUAAUACCGGAUACGACCACUUCGGGCAUCCGAUGGUGGUGGAAAGAAUUUUGGUCAGGGAUGGGCCCGCGGCCUAUCAGCUUGUUGGUGGGGUAACGGCCCACCAAGGCGACGACGGGUAGCCGGCCUGAGAGGGCGACCGGCCACACUGGGACUGAGACACGGCCCAGACUCCUACGGGAGGCAGCAGUGGGGAAUAUUGCGCAAUGGGCGAAAGCCUGACGCAGCGACGCCGCGUGAGGGACGACGGGCCUUCGGGUUGGUAAACCUCUUUCUAGCAGGGACGAAGCGAAAGUGACGGUACCUGCAGAAGAAGACACCGGCUAACUAACGUGCCAGCAG